UUCACUGCAUCUUAUAUUUUGCAGCGCACUCCUCUCGCCCCUCGCACACACACUCCCUUCUCUUGCAAAAGCAGGCGUAGUUAUUUCUCCACACCCUCGCCUUGCAGCGCACCCAAGAGAACGCGCUGCAGUCUGAAGCUAAAAUCCGCACACAUCAGGACGCGGCAGUCAGCUACACUGAAUGCGGAUGGGAACUCGGUCUCACUGUUUCCGAGUGUUUUCAUGCAUAACUUCCAGUGCCUCUGGAUAGGAACGUUUUGCGAUGCCACGCCUUCAACUUCACCUUCUCUUGCUUAUCACCUUCUCUCAGUCAUGUUCUGCCCCCCUGCGCUUCUGUAGCUUCGCCCAUAGUUUCGAAAUCACCAGCUACCCCUUUGCCAAGUGCUGCCAAUGAUAGCAUGGCAAACGGCAACGAAUCUCUUAUGUCUUGGCAGGAUCCCGCAACUGCCGUUGGCUUGAAGAAUUUCGACUCGGAGGCACGGUCACUGGAUGCGGAGCCGUUGUCAAGGAUGAAUAAACAACGAUGGAAGCCGUUUGUUGUGGUAACUAUCGCUUGUUUCGUGGCUGCCAUCCUCAUUGUUUGGGAUUUUCGCGGUGCUACAAAGACUUGCGAAGAAACGGAUGUGAUACCUCCAAAGAACAUCACCUUAGUUGAAACCUCACCGUCAAAGGCUCGACUUGCAUGGACGCCGUCCAAUACAGCCUGGGAGGGCCAAAUCGUAUACUGCGUGAAAGUUUGCGUGGCCUAUGACUCAUGCACCGCCGGAUCGAGUGGCCGGCAUUGAACGACACAUCAAACACCGUAUUCAUGGCUCGACUUUGACAGCAACGUCGGCACCACGUACUGCGUACAGGUGACCGCUUGUGCACUGUGUCGUGACAAGGUGGUAAGCAGCCAGCCUGCCUUCAAAGAAAUCGAGACACCUUUGUAUGGUCGGCCCGCCAUACCACUAUCUUCGGGAUCAGCCCACGUACGGGAGUUUCAUGUCUACACACGGAUACGAUCCUGGGGGAACUAGCCUUUAACAGCUUCCCUGUAAAAUUGGUUACGUCAUUGUCUUCCUAAUCAAUUAAUUCCUUAACAGCGAUGAUGAACGCGGGAUCAUUGGUACGAGCGCGUUCACGCAGUAACACCAAGGGUUGCCAAUGAGCCAGCUGUGGAAGAAGGACGAUGACGCUCUAGCCAAUCGAGAUGAUGAUAUUUUUUGUGGUAACAUACGGAGAGUAUCCUGGGGAAAGCAGCCCCUAAUAGCUUCGCUUUAAAACUGACGAAGAUGACCUUGCGUUUUGUGGUGAAGGUGACCAUGGUGACGACCUGCCUGCAGUUUCCUCAAUCUUAUCCCUGUUCGUUUGUAGUCAUGGCGUGAAUCGCUCCAGCGGAAGUAUACGUCUAAAGUAAUGGACGCACCGCGCACUUCGAUGCCGAAAUCCCAAGCCCCCAUAGUCAUGGAAGGCUAUCACUGAAGUCUUGAAUUACUGAGGGAAACAAAUUUUGCAUGGCGUGGUCUGGAAACGUCCAGGUCAAAAAACAAAA